UACGAAGGGGGCUAGCGUUGUUCGGAAUUACUGGGCGUAAAGCGCACGUAGGCGGACAUUUAAGUUGGAGGUGAAAGCCUUGGGCUCAACCCAAGAAUUGCCUUUGAUACUGGAUGUCUCGAGACCGGGAGAGGUGAGUGGAAUUCCGAGUGUAGAGGUGAAAUUCGUAGAUAUUCGGAAGACCACCAGUGGCGAAGGCGGCUUGCCAGAACGCGCUCGACGGUGAGGGAUGAAAGCUGGGGGAGCAAACCGG
rnacentral:rRNA from 1 species